GAACUAAAGGAUUAACGUAAGACCUUAAUUUAGUUC
ncrna:unclassified sequences S4-Flavobacteria ribosomal protein leader